rnacentral:lncRNA from 1 species
CACCAUCAUUUUAUGAUAUGUAUAUGGAUGUUCAGCUGUGGUGUGUGAUAAAAUUUCUCUCCGGGACAAUCUGUAUCAAUACGUCAGGACGUGUCAGUCCAACUUACUUACUUUUACAUAAAAUUGUGAAAUAAAGGCAACAGUAGUAUACCGCUGUUUGAAAUUCAUAAAUCGAUUGAGGAAAAAACAAAUCCGGGUUACAAACUAAAACUGAGGGAAACAUAUCAAAUAUAAGAGGAGAACAACG